GGACCUCGUGCUAUUAGAUGAGCCUGCGUCGGAUUAGCUUGUUGGUGGGGUAAAGGCCUACCAAGGCGACGAUCCGUAGCUGGUCUGAGAGGACGAUCAGCCACACUGGGACUGAGACACGGCCCAGACUCCUACGGGAGGCAGCAGUGGGGAAUAUUGCACAAUGGGCGCAAGCCUGAUGCAGCUAUGCCGCGUGUGUGAAGAAGGCCUGCGGGUUGUAAAGCACUUUCAAUUGGGAGGAAAAGUUUAGGGUUAAUAACUCUGAACCUUGACGUUACCUUUAGAAGAAGCACCGGCUAACUCCGUGCCAGCAUCCGCGGUAAUACGGAGGGUGCAAGCGUUAAUCGGAAUUACUGGGCGUAAAGCGCGCGUAGGCGGUUAGAUAAGUCAGAUGUGAAAGCCCCGGGCUCAACCUGGGAACUGCAUUUGAAACUGUCUGACUAGAGUAUGGUAGAGGGAAGUGGAAUUCCAGGUGUAGCGGUGAAAUGCGUAGAUAUCUGGAGGAACAUCAGUGGCGAAGGCGACUUCCUGGACCAAUACUGACGCUCAGGCGCGAAAGCGUGGGUAGCAAACAGGAUUAGAUACCCUGGUAGUCCACGCCGUAAACGAUGUCAACUAGCCGUUGGACUCAUUAUAAGGGUUUAGUGGCGAAGCUAACGCGAUAAGUUGACCGCCUGGGGAGUACGGCCGCAAGGUUAAGACUCAAAGGAAUUGACGGGGGCCCGCACAAGCGGUGGAGCAUGUGGUUUAAUUCGAUGCAACGCGAAGAACCUUACCAGCCCUUGACAUCCUCGGAACUUACUAGAGAUAGUUUGGUGCCUUCGGGAACCGAGUGACAGGUGCUGCAUGGCUGUCGUCAGCUCGUGUCGUGAGAUGUUGGGUUAAGUCCCGUAACGAGCGCAACCCUUGUCCUUAGUUGCCAGCACGUAAUGGUGGGAACUCUAAGGAGACUGCCGGUGACAAACCGGAGGAAGGUGGGGAUGACGUCAAGUCAUCAUGGCCCUUAUGGGCUGGGCUACACACGUGCUACAAUGGCCGGUACAGAGGGUCGCCAACCCGCGAGGGGGAGCUAAUCUCAGAAAACCGGUCGUAGUCCGGAUCGCAGUCUGCAACUCGACUGCGUGAAGUCGGAAUCGCUAGUAAUCGCGAAUCAGCAUGUCGCGGUGAAUACGUUCCCGGGCCUUGUACACACCGCCCGCA
rnacentral:rRNA from 1 species